rnacentral:rRNA from 1 species
AUUGAACGCUGGCGGCAUGCCUAACACAUGCAAGUCGAACGCGUGGCGGACGGGUGAGAAAUGUCGGGGAAACUGCCUGAUGGAGGGGGAUAACUACUGGAACCGGUAGCUAAUCCCGCAUACCAUCGGAUGUUCCCAGAUGGGAUUAGCUAGUAGGUGGGGUAAAGGCUCACCUAGGCGACGAUCCCUAGCUGGUCUGAGAGGGUGACCAGCCACACUGGAACUGAGACACGGUCCAGACUCCUACGGGAGGCAGCAGUGGGGAAUAUUGCGCAAUGGGCGAAAGCCUGAUGCAGCCAUGCCGCGUGUAUGAAGAAGGCCUUCGGGUUGUAAAGUACUUUCAGCAGGGAGGCGUUACCCGAAGAGGAAGCCCCGGCUAACUCCGUGCCAGCAGCCGCGGUAAUAC